rnacentral:rRNA from 1 species
AUUGAACGCUGGCGGCAUGCCUUACACAUGCAAGUCGAACGGCAGCAUGAUCUAGCUUGGUAGAUUGAUGUCGCGUGGCGAAGGGGUGAGUAAUACAUCGGAACAUGCCCUGUAUUGGGGGGUAACUAGUCGAAAGAUUAACUAAUACCGCAUACGACCUGAGGGUGUAAGUGGGGGACCGCAAGGCACCUUGCUAUAGUAGCUGAGGAUGUCUGAUUAGCUAGUUGGUGAGGUAAAGGCUCACCAAGGCGACGAUCCGUAGCUGGUCUGAGAGGAUGAUCAGCCACACUGGAACUGAGACACGGCCCAGACUCCUACGGGAGGCAGCAGUGGGGAAUAUUGGACAAUGGGCGCAAGCCUGAUCCAGCAAUGCCGCGUGUGUGAAGAAGGCCUUCGGGUUGUAAAGCACUUUUGUCCGGAAAGAAAUGCAUCAGGUUAAUACCUCGGGUUGCUGACGGUACCGGAAGAAUAAGGACCGGCUAACUACGUG